rnacentral:rRNA from 1 species
GUGAACGCUGGCGGUAGGCCUAACACAUGCAAGUCGAACGGCAGCACAGUAAGAGCUUGCUCUUACGGGUGGCGAGUGGCGGACGGGUGAGGAAUACAUCGGAAUCUACUUUUUCGUGGGGGAUAACGUAGGGAAACUUACGCUAAUACCGCAUACGACCUACGGGUGAAAGCAGGGGAUCUUCGGACCUUGCGCGAUUGAAUGAGCCGAUGUCGGAUUAGCUAGUUGGCGGGGUAAAGGCCCACCAAGGCGGCGAUCCGUAGCUGGUCUGAGAGGAUGAUCAGCCACACUGGAACUGAGACACGGUCCAGACUCCUGCGGGAGGCAGCAGUGGGGAAUAUUGGACAAUGGGCGCAAGCCUGAUCCAGCCAUACCGCGUGGGUGAAGAAGGCCUUCGGGUUGUAAAGCCCUUUUGUUGGGAAAGAAAAGCAGCAGGUUAAUACCCCGCUGUUCUGACGGUACCCAAAGAAUAAGCACCGGCUAACUUCGUG